ACAUUUGAUAGCGUCCUCUGGAUGAGUUCUUGCAGCUCCGCUCUGACAGGGCGAGGAGAGUAUAGGGGAGGAGCUUCCAUGAGAAAUCGGAAUUUUUAUUUUAAAAGCGGUCGGAUCAGGGGGCUUUCCUCCUCUUACUGAUGGAGCGGCAGGUACACGAGAGGUUCUUCUGUCCUAGUUCCACUUACAGUCUGAUUUGGAGCCUGACUAUUGUGAUGCUAUGCUGGGCACAAGGAAAAGUAAUAACCGAGAAUGAGACAGUACCACUGGAGAGACCUGCUUCCUUAAAAUGUUCCCUGUCAACGCCUCAAGAGGCCUUGAUAGUUACAUGGCAGAAACUCAGUAAAGGAAGACCAGAAAAUAUAGCAACCUACAGCAUGGCACAUGGAGUAGUAAUCCAAAAACCUUACCAAAAUAAAAUAGAAAUGACCCAGCAAGGGCUCAGCGAGUCGACCAUCACCUUCUUACGAACCACACCUGAGGAUGAACACUGCUAUUCAUGCAUCUUUAACAUCUUUGGUUCUGAAGCAGUCUCAGGAAAAACAUGCCUCAAACUUUAUGUACAGCCCAAAGUAUUCCUGAACUAUGAGUUCUCUGGGGACCACCUGAAUGUUACCUGCUCUGCCAUUGGCCGGCCAUCCCCUGUGAUCUCCUGGAAGGUGUCUGGCUUAGUGGCACAGAAUACCAAUGAGAGUAACAACAAUCUAAAUGGUACCACAUCAGUCACUAGCACACUCCACAUCAAAGAUUUUGAAAAGUGGGCUGAGAAAAAGAUUGUCUGUAAUGUGCAGCACAUGGAGAGUACGAUGGACUACAAUGUAACCCCAAGCAAAGGAGGCACAGGUCAUCAUGUUUCAGUGCCUAUAAUGGUGAGUGUCCUUGUGUCAGUAGUGCUCCUGGUAACCUUGGUUAUAAUCUUACUCUACUGGAAAUAUCGACACCAGAGUAAAGGGAUAUAAUUUUCCAUUAGGAUUGCUUUAGAUGUACACCAGAAAUUAAGACAGGGGAUAAAUUCAGUGGGCAUUCCAGCUCUGGCCUCCUUGGCUUCUUGUCGGCAAACAUGGUGGUGCAUUCUAGAAGAUUCACAGCAGAUGUCUCAAGCCAUUCCUUGGCCUAUGUGACUUAGAAACAGAAGACUCUGUAAGCAAUGACCACCAGAACCUAAAAGGAGGAAAGAAAGGUAUCAAGAACCUGGAGGACAACUGGGAGUUUUAUAACAAUUGACUCUAGCCAUGUACUUGCUCUGAUUUUUUACAAGAAUGCAUUCAUUCAGGAAAUUAGGUCAUUCAGUGGCUAGAGCGCCAAGCCUGGAGACAGAAUGUCUUGCGUUCAAAUAUGACUUCAGAUACUUCCUACUGUGUGAUCCUGGGUAAGUCAUUUAACUCCAAUUGCCUAGCCCUUAUCGUUCUUCUGACUUUGAGCAGAUACUUAGUAUCAUUUCUAAGACAGAAGAUAAAUGUUUUUAAAAAAGAAGAAAAAAGGAAAGAAAAAGCAAAAUGAAGCAAAGAGAAAAGAGGCUAGGAGCAUGAUGAGGACCAAAGAAGACAUUCCAGCUUUCUUUCCAAAUAGUUAAGGCAGCCAAAUUGUACAGUGGAUAGAGUUCUGGACCUGGAAUCAGGAAGACGAGGUUUAAUCUAGAUUCAGACUCUUAUUAUGACCCUGGACAAGUCACUUAAUGCCUCAAGCUCAAUUUCAUUUAUCCACUAAACAGGUUAGAUUUGUUAGUUUCUAAGGAUCCUUCUAUUUCUAAAUCUAUAAUGUUUAUGAUAUUUAUUCUCUUCUGGUUCUUGGGACCUUGCAGCUACCUGGUUCUAUUUGUAAUAGAAAGGUUUUAAUAGAAUAUCCAGUUUAAUAGAAUAUGCAGUUUACUUUAUAUCAUAUACUAACUAGUAUGAUGCUUAAUAACAGGCCCUAAUUAGUUGAAUGAAAAAAAUAUUUUUCACCUUAAUUCUAUCAAUCAAUUUAAAGUAUUAAAGGUACAGAAAGGUUGCUUGUUCGAAUUAGUGGAGGGAGUUUCCUCCCCAGGAGUUCCCUACAAUAAUAAAAUCACAAAUCCAGACCAAAAUAAAUGACCAAAAAUCUACUUUAAAACAAAAAAAGCUGGUUACUUUAAAGAAUGGAUUUCCUAUUCAUAUACAACAUAAAGGGACCAAACAUUUUUAUUGUUACUGUCCACUGUUAUAAGUUCACUCUCAUGAUUAAAGAUUUAUAUUAAAAAGACAUCAAAUUAUGUGGUCACAAGUAUCUCAUAGAAUGUAUAUUUGUUGUAAUGUUUUGUUUUCACAUCACAUCCCCACUGUACCUCCACCAACCUUUUCGGGAAGCAAUUCAUUAUAAAGAAUAUUAUUUUGAAAAAAGAGAAUAAAAUAUAGUCUAUAAAACUAAUAAGAUGGGGCAGACCGGGAAGUUUAGUAAGAUUUGGGGGAUACUUAUAAUUUUAUUUUCUUACAGGUUAUAACACAACUCAUAUUUCACUAUCAAUGGAAAAAUGUAAAUUCUUUGAUAAAUGAAUGACUUCUUUGGUUUCUCGUGACUUAUAACUGUAUUUUCCAUGUCAGUUGUUGAGCAAAAUCUUUAUUCAAGUUAAUAGCUGACUAAGAUUUAUGUUUUGACAUCUUUAUUCAAAUAUUUAAUUUGUGAGAGUGGUAACUGGAGAAGGAAAUUGAAAACCUCUCCACUACCUUUGCCAGUAAAUGCCAAAUGGGGUCACAAGUUGGACAUGAUUGAAUUGACUGAACAAAAAACAAAGAGAGGUAGCAUGAAUUUCUGUGUACCUGAAUUCAAAACUCACCUCUUACCCUUACUAGCUAUAUAGCAUUGGGCAAAUUACAAUCUCUCUAAGACUUGAAUAAUUCUCCAGGUCUAGAAGAUGGGUUUUGAUCAAUGUUAAUAGGGUUCUAUAUCUAUAUUAUUUAUAAUAAAAUGCUAUAUGUUAUCUAAAGUUAAAAUAAUAUUGCUUUUUGAAGUGUGUAGACUUUUUAGAUGUAUAUCCAGUUCAAAAGUCUAGACAAAGUCAAUUGCUUGGCACCUGGCAAGCCCUAUUUCUUGUUAUCCAAAUGCUCCUUAGUAUUGGGUAGAUAGUGGAGGGUGAGGGGAAGAAAAUUAGGUCAAUAGACAUUAUGUUAUCCCAUCCUCUUUCCAGCUGGACAUUCCCUCAGCACACAGAACCAAGUAGAGAGGGAAUGAUAGAUGUAACAGAGAGGCAAAGUAGGAGGCCAGCUGGAUGGAGUGAUUUGGCAGAAGUAAAAAAAAAGAAUCCUACCAUUUUAUACUGUUUGAACCUAGCCUUACAUUCUAAGAAACCAAACCUGUUACUUAGGGGCUAGAUUUAUUUAAGAGUGCUUAACUCAGGACUCAGGUUAUGAUGACCAAAAACUCAAUCAAAUCCAAGAUGGCAAGGAAGAGGAGUUUUUCCCCCAUUUUACUCUCAACCACAUAUACAUGUGUCAUCUGGAAAGUGCCUCCGUGUUGGCUAUUUGGCUGUUUCCUUGUUCCUGUGUUUAAAUUCUAUGUAAUGUGUGACUUAUGGACCCUCAGGGGAAGUGGGUCACCUUUUUUUAAGUUCUACUAAAUAACUUAAUAAAUUUCUUUCUAAAUUA